AUUGAACGCUAGCGGCAGGCCUAACACAUGCAAGUCGAACGAGUGGCGGACGGGUGAGUAAUGUCUGGGAACGUGCCUGAUGGCGGGGGAUAACUACUGGAAAAGGUGGCUAAUACCGCAUACUAUCGGAUCUGCCCAGAUGGGAUUAGCUAGUAGGUGGGGUAAAGGCUCACCAAGGCGACGAUCCCUAGCUGGUCUGAGAGGAUGACCAGCCACACUGGUACUGAGACACGGUCCAGACUCCUACGGGAGGCAGCAGUGGGGAAUUUUGGACAAUGGGCGAAAGCCUGAUGCAGCCAUGCCGCGUGUAUGAUGAAGGCCUUCGGGUUGUAAAGUACUGUCAGUGGGGAGGCGUUACCGACAGAAGAAGCACCGGCUAACUCCGUGCCAGCAGCCGCGGUAAUUC
rnacentral:rRNA from 1 species